GCCUUCGGCUGGGCUUGGUGGCACGUGCCUUUAAUUCUAGCACUUUGGGAGGCCUCACAGGAGGAUCAAUUAAGGAUAGCCUGGGCAACAUAGCAAGACUGUCUCAAAAAAAAAAAAAAAAAAAAAGACUGGCAUUUGGCUGAGAAUGGCAAUGGUAAUGGCGUCCCAAAUCCAGGCCCCAGCCCUUCAGCCCCACUCUUCUUGCCUUUGGCCGAGGUACUUUAUCCAGCCUCUACCCCACCUUCCCUCAGUAAACCCAGGGUCCCUGGUCCUGCCCCUCAGGGCCUAUAAGCCACUGGGACCCUCUGCCUGGCUUCUCCCUUGAAGACGGUGCUGCCUGAGUUGAGGCCUGACUUGGCAUAACUUGGAAACUUGCUGGUCAGAGGGUGGCACCCUGUAUGCCCCUCCCUUCCAGCCUGGUCAGUGAUCCCUACUCCAGGCUGUUUGAGACCCAGGCCACACUAUCAUGUAUCCAGUGAACUCUUCCCCCGCCGGGAACUGGUGACUCAUCACUGAAGACUUGUGACAAAGAGCAGCUCCACACCUGUGCACACUUGGGGCAGGCGUGUUUCCAGAGGCCCAGAGGGACAGCGAGAGCGUGAGCAGCAACACUGUGCCAAGCAGGAAGGUGUCCAAGUGACACCCAGGACAACUGGAAGAAGCCCUCGGUGAUCACAGAAAUGGGGAGAGGCUCUGAGCCAGAUGCUGGAAGCUAGAAACCUGCCUGAUGUUUCAACCUGGGGCUGGUGCUCCGGCCUGGACCAUGCCAUCCGAAAAGGCCAGAAAUUCUCCCUAGAAGAUGGAUGGCAACUUGAAAGCCAGUGGGACCAUGUCUCCACAUCUGACACACUGCAGCCCCAAAGAAUAUAUUUGUUCAAUUGAAUCUAAAUGGAGAGGGUAUACCACAAUGGAAAAACAGCCCUAAAAGAUUUGGUCCUGCAAAGCUCUGAACAGCAUCUAUGUGGUAGCUUGCAGCAGUAUUGCCUCUGGUUCAUUCGGGGUCCCUGUAUCCACAUCCUUUCACACAGACUUGGGCCUUGGCCAUGUGGUCUGCUUUGGACAAUGGGAGAAUAGUGAACGUGAUAUGAGACUUGGGCUUGAUUUCUCUAACUGCCAUGGGAGCCCCGAGGCCACCAUGUGAACAAGCCUAAGCCAGAGGAGAACCAAGGGCUCAGCCAACAGCCAACUACCAGACAUGAGCGAAGCCCCUGACUGCCCUCUGACCAUAAGACAUAGUUGAGUUCAGCCAAGCCCAGCAGAAGAAUCGCCUGUCCGUGCCCAGCCCCCAUCACUGAUCCAAAUCAUUAUAAAGCUAAUACAUUUGUUGGUUUAAGCCACUAAGUUUCAGAGGUAGUUUGUUAAUAUGCAAAAGCUAACCUAAUCACUUCUUAGAACAGCACACCCCAAAUAGUAUCUGGAGAGAUAAAGCUAGGCAAACAGGCACACCACCAGCCCCAGGCUGUGCUAUCAGGCACUGUGGGAGGGACAGGAGGAUCCCCCAGAUUCUAGGCCAGGAGAGAGGGGUGAGGUAUUCACCUUGCAUACAAAAUUUAAAGGGCUACCCCAAAACUCAGUAAUGAAGACACAUGAUGUAAUAUUUUAAUGUAAUAUUUAAAAAAAAUCAAAUUGGUAUCUCUGGUCCACGUCCCAG
rnacentral:lncRNA from 10 species